UCGAGCGAACAGACGAGGAGCUUGCUCCUCUGACGUUAGCGGCGGACGGGUGAGUAACACGUGGAUAACCUACCUGUAAGACUGGGAUAACUUCGGGAAACCGGAGCUAAUACCGGAUAAUAUAUUGAACCGCAUGGUUCAAUAGUGAAAGACGGUUUUGCUGUCACUUAUAGAUGGAUCCGCGCCGCAUUAGCUAGUUGGUAAGGUAACGGCUUACCAAGGCAACGAUGCGUAGCCGACCUGAGAGGGUGAUCGGCCACACUGGAACUGAGACACGGUCCAGACUCCUACGGGAGGCAGCAGUAGGGAAUCUUCCGCAAUGGGCGAAAGCCUGACGGAGCAACGCCGCGUGAGUGAUGAAGGUCUUCGGAUCGUAAAACUCUGUUAUUAGGGAAGAACAAAUGUGUAAGUAACUAUGCACGUCUUGACGGUACCUAAUCAGAAAGCCACGGCUAACUACGUGCCAGCAGCCGCGGUAAUACGUAGGUGGCAAGCGUUAUCCGGAAUUAUUGGGCGUAAAGCGCGCGUAGGCGGUUUUUUAAGUCUGAUGUGAAAGCCCACGGCUCAACCGUGGAGGGUCAUUGGAAACUGGAAAACUUGAGUGCAGAAGAGGAAAGUGGAAUUCCAUGUGUAGCGGUGAAAUGCGCAGAGAUAUGGAGGAACACCAGUGGCGAAGGCGACUUUCUGGUCUGUAACUGACGCUGAUGUGCGAAAGCGUGGGGAUCAAACAGGAUUAG
rnacentral:rRNA from 1 species